rnacentral:tRNA from 1 species
ACUUAAGUAUUAUAAGAAUUAUAUUUAACUUCCAAUUAAAAAAUCUAGAAAUUUCCAUCUAGCUUAAGUA